ACGGAGGAAAAGAAACCAACAGGGAUUGCCUCAGUAGCGGCGAGUGAAGCGGCAAAAGCUCAAAUUUGAAAUCUGGCGUCUUUGGCGUCCGAGUUGUAAUUUGAAGAAGGUAUCUUUGGGCCCGGCUCUUGUCUAUGUUCCUUGGAACAGGACGUCACAGAGGGUGAGAAUCCCGUGCGAUGAGAUGACCCGGGUCUGUGUAAAGUUCCUUCGACGAGUCGAGUUGUUUGGGAAUGCAGCUCUAAGUGGGUGGUAAAUUCCAUCUAAAGCUAAAUAUUGGCGAGAGACCGAUAGCGAACAAGUACAGUGAUGGAAAGAUGAAAAGAACUUUGAAAAGAGAGUGAAAAAGUACGUGAAAUUGUUGAAAGGGAAGGGCUUGAGAUCAGACUUGGUAUUUUGCAUGCUGCUCUCUCGGGGGCGGCCGCUGCGGUUUACCGGGCCAGCAUCGGUUUGGAGCGGCAGGAUAAUGGCGGAGGAAUGUGGCACGGCUUCUGCUGUGUGUUAUAGCCUCUGACGAUACUGCCAGCCUAGACCGAGGACUGCGGUUUUUACCUAGGAUGUUGGCAUAAUGAUCUUAAGUCGCCCGUCUA
rnacentral:rRNA from 1 species